rnacentral:rRNA from 1 species
GAUGAACGCUGGCGGCGUGCCUAAUACAUGCAAGUCGAGCGAACAGACGAGGAUCUUGCUCCUCUGACGUUAGCGGCGGACGGGUGAGUAACACGUGGAUAACCUACCUAUAAGACUGGGAUAACUUCGGGAAACCGGAUCUAAUACCGGAUAAUAUAUUGAACCGCAUGGUUCAAUAGUGAAAGACGGUUUUGCUGUCACUUAUAGAUGGAUCCGCGCCGCAUUAGCUAGUUGGUAAGGUAACGGCUUACCAAGGCAACGAUGCGUAGCCGACCUGAGAGGGUGAUCGGCCACACUGGAACUGAGACACGGUCCAGACUCCUACGGGAGGCAGCAGUAGGGAAUCUUCCGCAAUGGGCGAAAGCCUGACGGAGCAACGCCGCGUGAGUGAUGAAGGUCUUCGGAUUGUAAAACUCUGUUAUUAGGGAAGAACAAAUGUGUAAGUAAAUAUGCACGUCUUGACGGUACCGAAUGAGAAAGCCACGGCUAACUACGUG